UCCAUGAAUUUGCAUGUUUUCGCAGGGAUCAGUUCUCGGCACUGGGAAUGGUUUGGCAGCUGCGGAAUCAUGGGGAUUGCUUUUGCCAUUAGUCCGGCUGCUCCGCUUGCGGACAAUGCCAAUACACGUCUUUGGCCACAUCAAAAAUGCAACCAGUGAAUUGGCCAUUACACACACACAUCGACCAAUACAAAGUUGAAUGCCAAACUGAGUUUUUGCCGGCUUAGCAUGUUUUUGAUUAAAUCGCUUUGGUUUGUAUUUUGAAUGGAAAUCGGAGGAGUAUGAUGGGUUCCGAGCGCCACAUUUGGAUAAACACAGAGUGCGAAUAAUACUCGUGAAUGACAAGCGAAAUCGAUUAAAUUCGAGAGCCUCAAGUUAUCCAAGCACUUUUACUCGUUUUCCUGUUUAUAUUAAGCCAGACUUACGCACUAACCAAAAUCCAAAAUGACUUUCUGCUGUGGGAAUCAAGUGUCGCCCGGCAGCGAAACAAUUGCGCUGCCAUUGCAUCAGCUAGAUGGAUGCCCGGCCAUUUGGAGUCCGCCUGGGAGUCGAGCUGUUGGCCAAGUCGGCAUAACUGCACACAUUAUUCAACAGCGUGGCAAGCAAAAAUUGUUGCUAUUUUAAUUGUCCGACAUGAAAUAUUAAAUGCUCACCACAAACAGCAUUAACAAUGGCGAUGCACACAUAAAACAAUAAAACGAAAAGCGGCCAUAAAAUGCAAGAGACUGUCCACCACUUUUGGCUGCCACUCGAUGUGGAUGUAUCUUAAUUAGCAUAAAUAUGCAACCCGCCUGUGCAAUGGGCCAAAAGGGGAGGGAGGUGAGGUGGAGCUGUUGGAUUGGAGUGUCACCCGAGUGCACCGCAACAUCAUUUAUGGCCGUGGCUACUGCCAUCGGUCAAUCAGAAACAGAAUCAGCUCCCGUUUCGGUGCAGCAUCCAUAUGCAUAUAUCUUCAUACACAUGGCCGCAUUAUUAUGCGGGCUCACUUCUCCAGUCGUAAUGGCUUUAAUUGUUAUUGUAAUUGGCAGUGCAUUCAAUGGUAAGUAAUUGAGUCAUGGGGGUAAAUGAUUGAAGUUUGAUAUGCUAGAUUAUGUCAUUGAAUUUGGAGAGGUUGCAAAAGAGCUGGGAUUAAUGAGAACUGAUGGAUGUUGAUCUCAUUUGAUUGCACUUGUGUACCAUAAGCCUCUGCAAACAAAUUAUAUAAAAAUUGGUAGUACCACUCCAGGCACCUAAAGCUCUUUUCACUUAAUCGCUUUCACUACACAUUGGCUGUUUAAUUAUUGGUUUUUAUAAUGACAUAAAUUCAAUAAAUUACACCCAAUCUGGCACUGCCCAUAACCUGAUUAUUUAAAUUCAUUUUAAUUUGAAACCCGAUUAAGUGAUUUAGAUUGCCUCUAAAACAAACCAAUUAAGAAUAAUUUUCACAUUUAAUUUGCUCUCUUUGUCAGCUUUAUUUGAUUCUCGCGAUUGUUUUGCACAGGCAAAAUAUGAAGUUCGUAGAUAUACAGACAAGUGGCUAUGAUGUAAUGCUUAGAGCUACAUAUAAUAUAUAGAUAGGUGUAAUAUAGCAUAUAUAUUUAUGUGUGUAAUAUGAUACAUCGAUUUCAAAAAACAGUUUUUGUAUCUUUGUCUGGGCUUAGUCAAUAAUCCGAUAGGAAAGCAAGCUUUUCAGGCAUCAAAAUCAUUCGCAGUGCCUGCGAGUGUGGACA
rnacentral:sRNA from 1 species